rfam:Asian citrus Psyllid, Diaphorina citri - Florida Strain, whole genome shotgun sequence.
GCCUUGGUGGCGUAGUGAUCAAGACGCUUGCCUGGUAAACAGGAGGGCGUGGGUUUGAUACCAUCCAAGGCA